AUACGUAGGGUGCAAGCGUUAAUCGGAAUUACUGGGCGUAAAGCGUGCGCAGGCGGUUUUGUAAGACAGAGGUGAAAUCCCCGGGCUCAACCUGGGAACUGCCUUUGUGACUGCAAGGCUAGAGUACGGCAGAGGGGGAUGGAAUUCCGCGGUUAGCCGUGAAAUGCGUAGAUAUGCGGAGGAACACCGAUGGCGAAGGCAAUCCCCUGGGCCUGCACUGACGCUCAUGCACGAAAGCGUGGGGAGCAAACAGGAUUAGAUACCCUGGUAGUCCACGCCCUAAACGAUGUCAACUGGUUGUUGGGGAUUUAUUUUCUCAGUAACGAAGCUAACGCGUGAAGUUGACCGCCUGGGGAGUACGGCCGCAAGGUUAAAACUCAAAUGAAUUGACGGGG
rnacentral:rRNA from 1 species